rnacentral:rRNA from 1 species
UACGGAGGGUGCAAGCGUUAUCCGGAUUUACUGGGUUUAAAGGGUGCGUAGGUGGGUCUGUAAGUCAGUGGUGAAAUCUCCGGGCUUAACUCGGAAAUUGCCAUUGAUACUAUAGGUCUUGAAUCAUCUGGAGGUAAGCGGAAUAUGUCAUGUAGCGGUGAAAUGCUUAGAUAUGACAUAGAACACCAAUUGCGAAGGCAGCUUACUACGGAUGUAUUGACACUGAGGCACGAAAGCGUGGGGAUCAAACAGG